rnacentral:rRNA from 1 species
GGGGGAAUAUUGCACAAUGGGCGCAAGCCUGAUGCAGCCAUGCCGCGUGUAUGAAGAAGGCCUUCGGGUUGUAAAGUACUUUCAGUCGGGAGGAAGGUGGUAAGGUCAAUAACCUUAUCAAUUGACGUUACCGACAGAAGAAGCACCGGCUAACUCCGUGCAAGCAGCCGCGGUAAUACGGAGGGUGCAAGCGUUAAUCGGAAUUACUGGGCGUAAAGCGCACGCAGGCGGUUGAUUGAGUCAGAUGUGAAAUCCCCGGGCUUAACCCGGGAAUUGCAUCUGAUACUGGUCAGCUAGAGUCGUGUAGAGGGGGGUAGAAUUCCAUGUGUAGCGGUGAAAUGCGUAGAGAUGUGGAGGAAUACCGGUGGCGAAGGCGGCCCCCUGGACAAAGACUGACGCUCAGGUGCGAAAGCGUGGGGAGCAAACAGG